UGUGAGUUUGGAUUACAUAGGUCAAGGAUCAGUAAUCUAUGGCUCAUGGACCAAAUCCAGCCUCCUGCCUGUUUUUGUAAACAAAGUUUUACUGGAAUGCAUUCAAGCUGAUGUGUUUACAUAUUAUCUAUAGAUGCUUUCACACUACACCAGCGUAGCUGAGAAGCUGUGACACAGAUCACACUAACUGCAAAGGCGAAAAUAUUCACUCUCUUAGAGAAAAACUUUGCUUUUUGUAGUAUGUUUAUUUAAAAAAUUGUAGUUUCCUUUGGAGAAAAAGUGCUUUUUCUCUAGGUGAGCCUAAGAGGACUCAGACAGGGUGUUUGAUUAACUAUAGGGGCUUUUGUUAAAAGGUAGAAAACUAUGGAUAGCACUAAUCUACAGCAUUAAUGAACCAGCAAAACUCAGAACAUCUUCAGUAUCAACAUACCUUAGAUACGGAGUCUUUCCUGACUUCUUGUACAGCUUCAGAGUGUGAGGCUGACCCAAACUGAGAUUUCGGUGUCAAAUACCUAAAAGAAAAGUUUACCAAAGUUUCAAUGCUUUCAAAGACAGAUGGUAUGUACCCAACAUAAUAAAGCUAUUUAUACCGAA
ensembl:lncRNA novel transcript, antisense to RNF168